rnacentral:misc_RNA from 1 species
GAGAACGUUCUUUUCCUGCUUCUCCUCCUGGAGCUCAGUGUCGAACUUCUCCUGGUUGGUAGUCUGAUUCAGACAGACCUCAUGAUAAGAAGCUCUGAGCUUCAUCAGCUCUUCUUGAAGAGCAUUAUUCUCAUCCUGAAGCAGAUCGCUGGUUUGAGUCUCCUUGUCCAUGGAGUCAAUCUUUUGGCUGUGAGCUUGCCUUUCCUCCAUCUCUGUCACCACAAGCUCAAGCCUGCUCAAAUCCCUUUUCAAAAGGGCCACCUUCUCCUUCAGAGCCACAUUGUCCUCUUCCAGAGCCUUCACCUUGUU